rnacentral:SRP_RNA from 1 species
GGGUGUGCUGGUGCACGCCUGCAGGCCCAGCUCCUUGGACUACACGGAAGCAGGAGGACCACUCAAACCCAGGAGUUCUGGGCUGCAGUGCCCUGGGCCUUCAUUUUGGCAUCAACAUAGUGACCUCCUGGGAGUGGGGGACCAUGGUUGCCCAAGGAGGGGUGACCCGCCCCAGGUCAGAAACAGAGUCGGUCAAGCCUCUGAGUGGAUGAGCAGAGGGAGCACACCCGUGAAUACCCACUGCGCCCCAGCUUGGGCCACAUGGCGAGACCCGGUCUCUC